rnacentral:lncRNA from 1 species
CCUUGCAUCCCAGGGAUGAAGCCCACUUGAUCAUGGUGGAUAAGCUUUUUGAUGUGCUGCUGGAUUCGUUUUGCCCGUAUUUUAUUGAGGAUUUUUGCAUCAAUGUUCAUCAAGGAUAUUGGUCUAAAAUUCUCUUUUUUUGUUGUGUCUCUGCCUGGCUUUGGUAUCAGGAUGACGCUGGCCUCAUAAGAUGAGUUAGGGAGGAUUCCCUCUUUUUCUGUUGAUUGGAAUAGUUUCAGAAGGAAUGGUACCAGUUCCUCUUUGUACCUCUGGUAGAAUUCGGCUGUGAAUCCAUCUGGUCCUGGACUCUUUUUGGUUGGUAAGAUAUUGAUUAUUGCCCCAAUUUCAGAUCCUGUUAUUGGUCUAUUCAGAGAUUCAACUUCUUCCUGGUUUAGUCUUGGGAGAGUGUAUGUGUUGAGGAAUUUAUCCAUUUCUUCUAGAUUUUCUAGUUUAUUUGCGUAGAGGUGUUUGUAGUAUUCUCUGAUGGUAGUUCGUAUUUCUGUGGGAUUGGUGGUGAUAUCCCCUUUAUCAUUUUUUAUUGUGUCUAUUUGAUUCUUCUCUCUUUUUUUCUUUAUUAGUCUUGCUAGCGGUCUAUCAAUUUUGUUGAUCCUUUCAAAAAACCAGCUCCUGGAUUCAUUAAUUUUUUGAAGGGGUUUUUUUUGCGUCUUUAUUUCCUUCAGUCCUGCUCUGAUCUUAGUUAUUUCUUGUCUUCUGCUAGCUUUUGAAUUUGUUUGCUUUUGCUUCUCUAGUUCUUUUAAUUGUGAUGUUAGGGUGUUGAUUUUAGAUCUUUCCUGCUUUCUCUUGUGGGCAUUUAGUGCUAUAAAUUUCCCUCUUAACACUGUUUUAGCUGUGUCCCAGAGAUUCUGGUACAUUGUGUCUUUGUUCUCAUUGGUUUCAAAUAACUUAUUUAUUUCUGCCUUAAUUUCAUUAUUUACCCAGUAGUCAUUCAGGAGCAGGUUGUUCAGUUUCCAUGUAGUUGUGUGGUUUUGAGUUUCUUAAUCCUGAGUUCUAAUUUGAUUGCACUGUGGUAUGAGAUAUUGUUUGUUAUGAUUUCCAUUCUUUUGCAUUUGCUGAGGAGUGUUUUACUUCUAAUUAUGUGGUCACUUUUAGAAUAAGUGCUAUGUGAUGCUGAGAAGAAUGUAUAUUCUGUUGAUUUGGGGUGGAGAGUUCUGUAGAUGUCUGUUAGUUCUGCUUGGUCCAGAGCUGAGUUAAAGUCCUGAAUAUCCUUGUUAAUAUUCCUGUCUAAUAUUGACAGUGUUAGUCUCCCACUAUUAUUGUGUGGGAGUCUAAGUCUCUUUGUAGGUCUCUAAGGACUUGCUUUAUGAAUCUGGGUGCUUCUGUACUGGGUGCAUAUAUAUUUAGGAUAGUUAGCUCUUCUUGUUGAAUUGAUCCCUUUACCAUUAUGUAAUGGCCUUCUUUGUCUCUUUUGAUCUUUAUUGGUUUAAAGUCUGUUUUAUCAGAGACUAGGAUUGCAAGCCCUGCUUUUGUUUUUGCUCUCCAUUUGCUUGGCAAAUAUUCCUCCAUCUCUUUAUUUUGAGCCUAUGUGUGUCUUUGCAUGUGUGAUGAGUCUCCUGAAUACAGCACACUGAUGGGUCUUGACUCUUUAUCCAAUUUGCCAGUCUGUGUCUUUUAAUUGGGGCAUUUAGUCCAUUUACAUUUAAGGUUAAUAUUGUUAUGUGUGAAUUUGAUCCUGUCAUUAUGAUGCUAGCUGGUUAUUUUGCCCAUUAAUUGAUGCAGUUUCUUCAUAGUGUCGAUGGUCUUUACUAUUUGGUAUGUUUUUGCAGUGGCUGGUAUCUGUUGUUCCUUAUCAUGUUUUGUACUUCCUUCAGGAGCUCUUGUAAGGCAGACCUGGUGGUGACAAAAUCUCUCAGCAUUUGCUUGUCUGUAAAGGAUUUUAUGUCUCCUUCAUUUACGAAGCUUAGUUUGGCUAGAUAUGAAAUUCUGGGUUGAAAAUUAUUUUAAGAAUGUUGAAUAUUGGCCCCCACUCUCUUCUGGUUUGUAGGGUUUCUGCCAAGACAUCCACUUUUAGUCUGAUGGGCUUCCCUUUGUAGGUAACCUGACCUUUCUCUCUGGCUGCCUUAAGAUUUUUUCCUUCAUUUCAACCUUGGUGAAUCUGACAAUUAUAUGUCUUGGGGGUUGCUCUUCUUGAAGAGUAUCUUUGUGGUGUUCUCUGUAUUUCCUGAAUUUGAAUGUUGGCCUGUCUUGCUAGGUUGGGGGAGUUCUCCUGGAUAAUAUCCUGAAGAGUGUUUUCCAACUUGGUUUUAUUCUCCCCAUCACUUUCAGGUAUGCCAAUCAGACAUAGAUUUGGUCUUUUCAUAUAGUCCCAUAUUUCUUGGAGGCUUUGUUCAUUCCUUUUUAUUCUUUUUUCUUUAAUUUUGUCUUCAUGCUUUAUUUCAUUAAGUUGAUCUUCAAUCUGUGAUAUCUUUCUUCCACUUGAUUCAGCUAUUGAUACUUGUGUAUGCUUCAUGAAGUUCUCGUGCUGUGUUUUUCAGCUCCAUCAUGUCAUUUAUGUUCUUCUCUAAACUGGUUAUUCUAGUUAGCAAUUAGUCUAAUCUUUUUUCAAGGUUCUUAGCUUCCUUGCAUUGGGUUAGAACAUGGUCCUUUAGCUUCGAGGAGUUUGUUAUUACCCACCUUCUGAAGCCUAUUUCUGUCAAUUUGUCAAGCUCAUUCUCUGUCUGCUUUUGUUCCCUUGCUGGCGAGGAGUUGUGAUCCUUUGGAGGAGGUGAGGCAUUCUGGUGUUAGAAAUUUUCAGUCUUUUUGUGCUGGUUUUUCCUCAUCUUUGUGGAUUUAUCUACCUUUGGUCUUUGAUGCUGGUGACUUUUGGAUGGGGUUUUCUGUGUCUGGACAUCCUUUUUGUUGAUGUUGAUGCUAUUUCUUUCUGUUUGUUAGUUUUCCUUCUGACAGACCACUCUGCUGCAGGUCUGCUGGAGUUUGCUGGAGGUCCACUCCAGGCCCCUGUUGCCUGGGUAUCUCCAGUAGAGGCUACAGAACAGUAAAGAUUGCUGCCUGUUCCUUCCUCUGGAAGCUUUGUCCCAGAGGGGCACCCGCCAGAUGCCAGCUGGAGCUCUCCUGUAUGAAGUGUCUGUCCACCCCGGCUGGGAGGUGUCUCUCAGUCAGGAGACAUGGGGGUCAGGGACCCAUUUGAGGAGGCAGUCUGACCCUUAGCAGAGCUUGAACGCUGUGCUGGAAGAUCCACUGCUUUCUUCAGAGCCAUCAGGUAGGCACAUUUAAGUCUGCUGAAGUUGCACCCGCAACCACCCCUUCCCCCACGUGCCCUGUCCCAGGGUUAUGAGCCGCUGAUUUGGGCUGCUGCCUUUCUUUCAGAGAUGCCCUGCCCAGAGAGGAGAAAUCUGGAGACGCAGUCUGGCUGCAGUGGCUUUGCGGAGCUGCGGUGGGCGUCUCCAAGUUCGAACUUGCUGGCAGCUUUGUUUACACCGUGAGGUGUUCGCUUCCUGGAUGUUCUGACUAAUUUAAACUAUGGUUAAUUGAAGACUGAAAUAUUCGGGAAACUAUGACAGGAACAAUUUGCUACGGACAGUUUCCACCUGUACUCUCAAGACUUAGAAGCCAUAUGGAUAGAAUGAAAUAGGAUCCCAUCAUUCUCGGCCCAUCUCGCCCAUCUCAAGUCAUUUUUGCCCUCUCCCCACGUGCAGUCAGAAGACUGGAAGUGGAGGUGUGAGCAGUAGAUAGAGCAGUUUAUAAGACAAUGUUAAGACCAUGAUGAAAAGACAUUAGAGGAAGCAGGAAAAAAGAAUAUGCGACACUUAGAACAGGAAUUGGUGGUGUCUUGGAAUAUCUGCUUCAGGACGAUAAUGAAACUAAUGAUUUAGGGCAGUAGAAGAAGCCGUGGGAGGAACUUUCACAUUUGGCGAGGCAAAGUCUCAUUCCAUCACCCAGGCUGGAGUGCAGCGGCGUGAUCUUGGCAACCUCCACCUCCCAGGCUCAAGAAAUCCUCCCACCUCAGCCUCCCAAUAGCUGGAUCUACAGGCGUACACCACCACAAUCAGCUGUAUUUUUUGUAGAGACUGGGUUUCGCCAUGUUGCCCAGGGUGGUCAUGAACUUGUGAGCUCAAGUGAUCUGCCCGCCUCAGCCUCCCAAAGUGCUGGGAUUACAGGCAUGAGCCACCGCCCCUGGCCUAAUAAAAUUUAUUUUUAAAAAAGGACCUAUGGCGAAUCAUUUUUACAAAUAAAAUCUAUAGUCAAGGUGCAGUAUGGGAACAGCAUUUUACUGAGUAAUCUUGCAAAGAAUAUGUCAUUAACCACUACACUAAUCUUGUUCUUGAUGUACACCAGCAACAAAUACAAAGAAAAAUUUAGUCUCUUACUUUAACAGGUUCCAAGUAUGCCACAUCGUAUUUUUUGCCAAAUAAUUUAUUAGUAAGAGGAGAUGACUCUAGUAAGUUAUAGAAGUUAUAUUGAAUUUUUAAAAAAAAUUUUUCAAAACUAUUCUGUGGGGAUUGAGGACAGAUGAACUACAAAGGAACAUGAUGGAACUUUCUGGGGUGAGCAUAAUGUUCUAUAUGAUGAUAGGGGCUUGGGUUACAUAAGUGAGCAUUUAUGAAAACUGUACACUUUUUGUGCAUUUCAUUGUGUAUAAAGUUUACUUCAAAAAAAACAUUGAACUCCAAUUAAUUACAUGCAUGCUGAACUAUUUAGAGUGAAGUAUACUGAUGCCUGUUGUUUACUUUGAAGUAUUUCAAAACAGUAAAAUGGAUAGAGGAAUGUGUAAUAAAUUGGUACACGAUAAGGAAAAUAUAGUCAAUUAUGUUAAUA